rnacentral:snRNA from 1 species
CAUGUUACCUGGUAGAGGAGAUACCAUGAUCACAAGAUGGUUUUUCCAUGGCACUGUGGACAUGCUGGCCCCUACAGGGUCCCCAGAUGCAUGACACUUGACUGCAGAAUUUGUGCUCAUGGGGAACUGUGUUCAUGUUCUCCGU